rnacentral:lncRNA from 1 species
GAAAUCAUAUGUAUGACAAGCAGUGAUGAUAGCUUUUAAAAUUUAUUUAAGUAGAUGACUAUCAUACACAAUUGUCUUUUUCAUUUCUUCAAGAAUUCUAUUAACCCUAUUUUACUUAAGGUGUCCUUGGUGCUGAAAUAAUUAAUUUCUGUAUAAACUUUAUCAGGAUUUUGGUUUUCAACACUGUGUCAUGAUACCUUUACAGUUUGGAAACCUUUAUCAUUUGAAAC